rnacentral:rRNA from 1 species
UACGAAGGGGGCUAGCGUUGCUCGGAAUCACUGGGCGUAAAGGGCGCGUAGGCGGCCAUUCAAGUCGGAGGUGAAAGCCCAGGGCUCAACCCUGGAAUUGCCUUCGAUACUGUCUGGCUAGAGACCGGAAGAGGUAAGUGGAACUGCGAGUGUAGAGGUGAAAUUCGUAGAUAUUCGCAAGAACAACCGGUGGCGAAGGCGGCUAAGUCUGGACAGAAACUGGACGC